AUUGAACGCUGGCGGCAGGCCUAACACAUGCAAGUCGAGCGAGCGGCGGACGCGUGAGUAAUGUAUGGGGAUCUCCCCGAUAGAGGGGGAUAACACCUGGAGACGGUAGCUCAUACCCCAUACUAUCGGAUGUAUCCCUAUGGGCUUAGCUAGUAGGGGGGGUAAUGGCUCACCGAGGCGACGAUCCCUAGCUGGUCUGAGAGGAUGAUCAGCCACACUGGAACUGAGACACGGCCCAGACUCCUACGGGAGGCAGCAGUGGGGAAUUUUGGACAAUGGGGGAAACCCUGAUGCAGCCAUCCCGCGGGUAUGAUGAAGGCCUUCGGGUUGUAAAGUACUUUUGGCAGAGAAGCGGUAUCUGCAGAAGAAGCACCGGCUAACUACGUGCCAGCAGCCGCGGUAAUUC
rnacentral:rRNA from 1 species